UGGGGAAUCUUGCGCAAUGCGCGAAAGCGUGACGCAGCAACGCCGCGUGGGGGAAGAAGGUUUUCGGAUUGUAAACCCCUUUCAGGAAGGACGAAGGUUCGGCAGUUAAUAGCUGACCGGACUGACGGUACUUCCACAAGAAGGUCCGGCUAACUACGUGCCAGCAGCCGCGGUAAUACGUAGGGACCUAGCGUUGUCCGGAAUCAUUGGGCGUAAAGCGCGCGUAGGCGGCCCGGUAAGUCCGUUGUAAAAGUCAAAGGCUCAACCUUUGAAAGCCGAUGGAUACUGCCGGGCUAGAGUCCGGAAGAGGCGAGUAGAAUUCCUGGUGUAGCGGUGGAAUGCGCAGAUAUCAGGAGGAAUACCCAUAGCGAAGGCAGCUCGCUGGGACGGUACUGACGCUGAGGCGCGAAAGCGUGGGGAGCGAACAGG
rnacentral:rRNA from 1 species